UGGGGAAUUUUGGACAAUGGGCGAAAGCCUGAUCCAGCAAUGCCGCGUGUGUGAAGAAGGCCUUCGGGUUGUAAAGCACUUUUGUCCGGAAAGAAAUCCUUGGCUCUAAUACAGUCGGGGGAUGACGGUACCGGAAGAAUAAGCACCGGCUAACUACGUGCCAGCAGCCGCGGUAAUACGUAGGGUGCAAGCGUUAAUCGGAAUUACUGGGCGUAAAGCGUGCGCAGGCGGUUUGCUAAGACCGAUGUGAAAUCCCCGGGCUCAACCUGGGAACUGCAUUGGUGACUGGCAGGCUAGAGUAUGGCAGAGGGGGGUAGAAUUCCACGUGUAGCAGUGAAAUGCGUAGAGAUGUGGAGGAAUACCGACGGCGAAGGCAGCCCCCUGGGCCAAUACUGACGCUCAUGCACGAAAGCGUGGGGAGCAAACAGGAUUAGAUACCCUGGUAGUCCCACGCCCUAAACGAUGUCAACUAGUUGUUGGGGAUUCAUUUCCUUAGUAACGUAGCUAACGCGUGAAGUUGACCGCCUGGGGAGUACGGCCGCAAGGUUAAAACUUAAAUGAAUUGACGGGGUCAUAGCUGUUUCCU
rnacentral:rRNA from 1 species